AGGGAAUCUUCCACAAUGGACGAAAGUCUGAUGGAGCAAUGCCGCGUGAGUGAAGAAGGGUUUCGGCUCGUAAAACUCUGUUGUUAAAGAAGAACACCUUUGAGAGUAACUGUUCAAGGGUUGACGGUAUUUAACCAGAAAGCCACGGCUAACUACGUGCCAGCAGCCGCGGUAAUACGUAGGUGGCAAGCGUUGUCCGGAUUUAUUGGGCGUAAAGCGAGCGCAGGCGGUUUUUUAAGUCUGAUGUGAAAGCCUUCGGCUUAACCGGAGAAGUGCAUCGGAAACUGGGAGACUUGAGUGCAGAAGAGGACAGUGGAACUCCAUGUGUAGCGGUGGAAUGCGUAGAUAUAUGGAAGAACACCAGUGGCGAAGGCGGCUGUCUAGUCUGUAACUGACGCUGAGGCUCGAAAGCAUGGGUAGCGAACA
rnacentral:rRNA from 1 species